rnacentral:rRNA from 1 species
AGUGAACGCUGGCGGUAGGCCUAACACAUGCAAGUCGAACGGCAGCACAGUAAGAGCUUGCUCUUACGGGUGGCGAGUGGCGGACGGGUGAGGAAUACAUCGGAAUCUACUUUUUCGUGGGGGAUAACGUAGGGAAACUUACGCUAAUACCGCAUACGACCUACGGGUGAAAGCAGGGGAUCUUCGGACCUUGCGCGAUUGAAUGAGCCGAUGUCGGAUUAGCUAGUUGGCGGGGUAAAGGCCCACCAAGGCGACGAUCCGUAGCUGGUCUGAGAGGAUGAUCAGCCACACUGGAACUGAAACACGGUCCAGACUCCUACGGGAGGCAGCAGUGGGGAAUAUUGGACAAUGGGCGCAAGCCUGAUCCAGCCAUACCGCGUGGGUGAAGAAGGUCUUCGGGUUGUAAAGCCCUUUUGUUGGGAAAGAAAAGCAGCAGGUUAAUACCCCGCUGUUCUGACGGUACCCAAAGAAUAAGCACCGGCUAACUUCGUG